GACGAACGCUGGCGGCGUGCUUAACACAUGCAAGUCGAACGGAAAGGCCCUGCUUUUGUGGGGUGCUCGAGUGGCGAACGGGUGAGUAACACGUGAGUAACCUGCCCUUGACUUUGGGAUAACUUCAGGAAACUGGGGCUAAUAUCGGAUAGGAGCUCCUGCUGCAUGGUGGGGGUUGGAAAGAUUCGGCGGUUGGGGAUGGACUCGCGGCUUAUCAGCUUGUUGGUGGGGUAGUGGCUUUCCAAGGCUUUGACGGGUAGCCGGCCUGAGAGGGGGACCGGCCACAUUGGGACUGAGAUACGGCCCAGACUGCUACGGGAGGCAGCAGUGGGGAAUAUUGCACAAUGGGCGGAAGCCUGAUGCAGCAACGCCGCGUGCGGGAUGACGGCCUUCGGGUUGUAAACCGCUUUCGCCUGUGACGAAGCGUGAGUGACGGUAAUGGGUAAAGAAGCACCGGCUAACUACGUG
rnacentral:rRNA from 1 species